UUCAUCAAUCAUCAAAUGGCUAUUAAGUGUGUGACUCUACGUUUCAGGUAUGGGAACAAAGAUCGUUGAGCGAAUUACGACAAACUCAUUUGGCUUAGAGAGUGUUGAUUGUAGUGGAUUCGUCAGAUUUGGUGUUGAUGGUCAACGGAAAUCUUCAAAGCAGAAAUUGACUGACGACAAAGAAGAGAAAGGAGUUUUUUUUCUAAGGUCAAUGGAUAGGUUUCUUGAAAAGCAAAAUGCUGAGUCCAUCAGACGGACAAUGCAAGCCCAAGAAGAUCUUUUCAAGCAACAGGUACAAGAGCUGCAUAGAGUAUAUAAUAUACAGAAGAAGAUGAUGGAGCAACUCAAACAUAGAAGCCAAUACUGUACUACUAACAACCAAGACCAAACCGGUCCAAGAGAGAGAACCGGAAGCUGGUCAGGCAUAGGCCUCGAAAAUGUGGCUAGAGCCACGAACACAGUAACGGAUCAUAUUGAAGAGAGCGAGCUAGAACUGACACUGAGCAUUGGAAUGUCUUCUUCCUCUAUGAACAAGGACAUGGAUUACUCGUCGACGACAUCAUUCAAAUCAUCAUCGGAUAAUUGUAAUAAUCAGAGCAACACUAUUAAUUGUAAUAACCAAGAAAGUAGCGGACCAACCACGCCUAUGAGCAGCUCAAGUACGACGUCGUUGGACCGAGAGAAGAAGAGGCCUCAUUGGCUCUUUCAGGGACUUAGUAUUAACCGGACUUCAUGAUUUUUGUUAAUUCACUGACUUUCAUUUUCCUUCUUCGUCUUCUUCUUGAUUUUCUUCUUUUGUAUUUUAUUUGUUACUAUUAUUAUCUACCUGAUUUACUGAUA